GUUAGAUCAGAGUUUCUCAAACAUGGGUUUCCAGCUCUUUUUGAACCACAACUCCCACCAUCCCAAGCUAGCAGAACUAGUGGUCAGGGAUGAUAGGAACUGUAGUCCAAAAACAACUGGAGACCCAAGUUUGGGAAGCCCUGGGCCAGAGAGACUUUGGGCCUAAUCCUGCAAGCGUCACCUUCCAGGCUUCUACAUGUCAGACGUGGGGCAGGACCAGAGGCAAAAGUGGGUGUAGCAGUAAUUGCAACCCCUUAUCUCUGUAUUGUAAGCUAGUUUCUGCACACACAACCAUCUCCAUCAUCCAUCCAUCCAUCCAUCCAACCAACCAAGAGGCAUGAUCAGAAUUCUAGGACACGUUCCAGCCAGGCCAAAGCACUGAAGGAGGAGGUGAAGCAGAGUCAGUGAGGGGGUGUGGCCUGGGGAGAAGGGGUGUGGCCUGGAAAGGCUCCUUAGCGCCAGACAGAAGAGCGCCAGCUUGCGGAAGAGGCUUAUUUGGCCCUAGAUCUGAGGCACCCCACUCAUGACAUAGAGCAUGCCAUUACAUAUUUCCCAGGUGGACUUUGGUUAUGCUGCAAGGCUGCCACGGAAUUUAUUGCCAGUCCACACCUGCAAAAAUGCACAUCUUUCUCUUGAUCUAACAGCAACAUAUCGCCUUGCGACUCGUAUCUGAACAAGCAGAACUGCUCCUGCAUUUAAAAAAAUUAUCAUUUGGCUGGGACAGUCUCUCCCAUCAGCUCAUCCCUUGGGCCCAUAACAGCUGGCUCAGCUCAGCCAUCACUGUCAUUUCACAUGCGCCAGGAUGUCAGUGGAUGUUUCAGUUGCUGUGUGUGUGUUAAUGAACCGUUAACACACAAAAGCAAGUGUACGCUUCAUCUCUUUAUUCUGAAACUAAGUCCACAUUUAGGAAAUGAUUUAUCAGAUACUCCGUUGUCAGAACAGAAUGAUAGAAGCCAUUCCUUCAUGCCAGGACCCCUUUAGUUAAGAAGGGAAGGGGCUGUAGCACAGCAGGGAGUGUCCUCUGCCCAAAGCCCUGCCGCACUGCUGCCAGUCAGUGCAAACAGUAGUGAGCUAGAUGGAUCAAUGCUCAGACUCAGUAGAAGGCAGUUUCCUAUGUUCCUAAGCACAAAGGUGGGUGUGUUUGUGUGUUUAACCCAACAUCUCUCUCCCACCCCACCCCACCCCACCCCAUCCAACAGGUUAACUUGUUUAAAAUCAUAGAACUGUAGAGUUGGAAGGGACCCUGAGGAUCAUUUCGUCCAACCCCCUGCACAAUGCAUGAAUAUACAUUUGUCCCAUACUGGGAUCGAACCUGCAACCUUGGCAUUCUCAGGCACCAUGCUCUAACCAACUGAGCUAUCCAAGCUGUUGCCAGUUAGCAGAAGACAAUACUGAGCUAAGUAUAAGCUGCUUUAGGAGCGUUUCUGGCCUUGAACGGCAAGGCACAAAUUUAAUUAUUUUUUAAAAAUCUGAUCUUGGAGUCCAGUUUUGACUGCAGGGGAUGUAAAGUCAAGAAUAAGGUGAGGGUCAGUUUCUGGGAACUGCAGGUGUGUGUGUGCGGAGGGGGAGAGAAUUGCUGUUGCGUUCAGGUCCUACUUGCGUGUUUCCUAGAGGCAGCAGGCUGGUCAUUGUGAGACCAGGAUGCUCCAACUAUAGGACAAUUCUUACGUUCUUAAUCAGUAGGUACAGAAGGGUGGAAAACCCCUUCUGGCCCACCGACUGGCCCCUGAAAAUAAUUCCACACACACACACCCUCCAUUUGCAUGACAUGGCAACAUGUAGCUGCUCCCAAUGCCCCAAAUUUAAAAUGUUUAAAUAGAGUUCAGAGAACAAAGAGUUCAGGGUGCUGGAAUGGUGUCAGUUUUACAGCACAUUGUUUUGCCUAGAGCAGAAGAGAAGAGAUUUUCACGGGCACUGGUAAAUUUCCCACUUCCGAGACAGUCAAGAUGCUUUUUGUUGUUGCAAAACUUAGAGAAGAACAGUCCACGUUCGCUGUAUAUAAAUGUCGCAGUUUGCCCACGGAUGUAUAGUUGUUGAUGCCUUACAUUUUUUAGGGCGGUCAAUUUUCUUGGGCUGCUCCGUUUUUUUAGGAAGGAGGGAGCGCUUUUUUUAACAAAAACCGACACCAGCUCCUUUUCGGCCGGUAUUUGCAACAGGGUUCCUCUCGUAUCUUCUGUCCGCCCUCUUUUGAGGUGGGCGGGUCAGUUUUUGUACCGAACUGCACAAGCCCCCCCCCCCCAGUAACACCCUUCCCCACCCGCAAGCAGGCGAGAUGAGAGAUGACGGGCAGAUUUUGCAAUGACUGGGGGGUGUUCUCUAACCGAAGGGGAGAGAGACGCCUUCUAGCGAGUGGCUGCUGGUGCAGGCACCAGGCUCUAAGGCGUCCGGAGAAGAUUAUGAGAUCAUAGUCUGCCCACAGCGUUGCAUAAUGCGCUCUGGAAGGAACAUCAUAUUAAUUUUUAAAGCAGCGUUUGAAGGCGCAGGCAUUGCACUCACACCUCCCAAGUAGCAGGGCAUAAGGUUUUUGAGAAGCUGGUCCCCAACAGCUCUGGUUAUGAUGUCAUUCUACAGACUCCGGCCUGGUGCUUUUCUGUUUCUGUUUCCCAAGGCUGAUAGCAGACCUCUCUCUUCUCAGAAUGAUCCUAGCCUCCCCCUUUACUUCUGUUACUAGCUAGACUUCUGCGAGCACUGAGAAAUCGAGGGUCAACGUUGCAGAGGUUAGUUAGUUUCCUUUGAAUGAGAGGCAGCGCCGGAGACUUAACAGCGUGAGAUUUGCAGAGCAGAGGCAGGAUGCAUUCCUGCAGCAGACAGCUCAGCUACUAAUCCUGCGUCACAUUCCCUCCCAAAGAGGGCAAAUGCUCUUCAAAGAAUUGUUUGAUCUUCAGCCCCCUCUCAGAUUAUUAUUAUUUUAUUUACUAUUUAUUAAAUUUGUAUACCACCCUGUGCCCAGAGGUCUCAGGGGGGCUGCAACAUAAAAUCACAAUAUGAAAACACAAAAUGCGUAAUAAAAGCAAAAACAACCCAAUAACCACCACCACCCCACUUCCCCAACACAUUUUAAAAGGGCAUUGGAUGUCAGUCAGCCCAAGGCCUGGUUAAAUAGGAAUGUUUUCACCUGGCGCUUUAAGGUGUAUAAUGAAGGCGCCAGGUGAACUUCCCUGGGGAGAGCAUUCCACAGACAUGGAGUCACUGCAGAGAAGGCCCCGUUCUCGUGUUGCCACCCUCUGGACAUCUCGAGGAGGCGGAACACGGAGGGCCUCAGAAGAUGAUCUCAGGGUCCGGGUAGGUUCAUAUGGAAAGAGGCAGUCCUUGGGGUAUUGCUGUUCUGAGCUAUUUAAGAUCUCCCUGAUCAUUUCUCCAUUAAGACUGGCUCCAGGCUUCCACCACGCAGCUGGAGGGACAUCAUUGCCCUAAACUCCACAUUGGAAGACUGUAGCUCAGCGACACAGCACAUGCCUUUUGCAUGCGGAAGGUCCCAGGUCGGACUGCAACUCCCAUCAUCCCUGACCAUCAGCCACGCUGGCUGGCGUGGAUGGGAGUUGACAUCCAGUGACAUUGAGAGAGCACCAUGAAGUUUGCUCCUGGUCAAGAGUCGUGGGGAGCUGCUGCAAAGUCAGCAGAGAUAAUAAUCAACUACAAGGACCAGUGACCUGACUCGCAAUAAGGCAGUUUCCUGUGUUCCUAACUUCUUGAUGGGUAUGGCACUCCAAAGGCUGGAGUGAGGCUCCCAGCCAUCAAGGAACAUACGGCUUCAGGAAAUGUGUUGAGAACUGUGUUUCCAAAGUCACAAACUCCAGAAGGGCGGCUUUGUCAGUCUGUUAUGGCAAACUCGUCUGGCAAACACAUCCCUCAUUGCCGGCUGAUGACGCAUUCAACAGAAGCUUCUACCAUAUUGAAUCCAAUAAUUUUUGAUGGUGCUACAAGACACUUUUCUGUCCCUAUGUGUAGAUUUCCAGAGCAAGAAAAUGCAGCUCAAUCAAGGCAUAUAUUUUCUUCCCUUUUUUCCUUCAAACAUUAAUGUAACAGUAGAUGGGGGCUGGGGUGUCAAACGUGAUCAAUAUUGAUUCCCCCCUCCCCAAAUUCAAGGGCUCAGAUGCUAAUUCUCAGAGGGCCUUGCUCAGAUAUUAGCUUAUUAGUUCAUUUUCUGAAUAAUAUCCUCCAUCUUCAUUCAAGGACCUUGAGGCAAUAUGCUGGAGGCUCCAUCCAAGACCUCCAUUUUAACUUCACCGCAAGCCUGUGAGGUAGCUUAGGCGGAGAGAUCAUUUAUGAGUGGGAAAGGAGAUUUGAACCCCUGAUUUCCAACCACUGUUCCACACUGGCUCUAGCUAUGCAGAGUACAGUCUGGAGAGUCACAUGUCUCACCCCUGCUCUCUACUUCCUGUCAGGUCUCAUUUCCACAGGUCCCAUCUGCUGUAGUCCCUACUUUGCCUGCAGUUAUAAUGGGCUGCAAUAUUAGUGGAUGGCAUUACUCAGGACGCUAGAGCUGACCCCGACCCACCAAUUGCUAGCUUGUAAGCUGCUCCGCAUACCGCAUUUCUCAAAAGACCAGCCGAGUCCCAGCGUUUUUAUUACUUGCAACAUGCCUAAUGGCUGCCUGUAAAUGGCCGCUCCCGCUUGCCGUACCUGCAGAUUUCUUUGUGUCCGUUUUGUGCUCUCGUGCAACGUACACCAAUCCUCCUACCACCCCUGUGCGUUAAAACAGGCCUUGCAUCCUUUACCACUUUUGUAUGUGAGCUGUAUACCCUCUGCAACAAGCAGAGCCUUGACAGUUGUGGCCUCGAAGCUAUAGAACAAACUCCCCCCUGGCACGGUGGAAUCAUCCCUCUUUUGCUUUGCAGGGCUGUGAAAAAUGGGGAAAGGCUCUUGAUUUGUGCGCUGGAGUUUGCAGGUUCAAUUCCUUUUUGUCUCUCAGAGCAGGCGAUGGGAUAGGCUCCUCUGAAACCCAGGAGAACGACUGCCAGUCAGAGCAGACAACACAAGGUUAGAGAGACAAAUCCUCUGACUUGUGAUACGGCCAUUUCGCUCUGCUCCUUAUUCAGCAGGCCUUGGGGAUCUUGCCCUUGAGCAAGGAAGGGGAGGUUUUGACCCUCUGGUGUUGCUGAAACAUAACUCCCACCAUCCCUGCUUAUUGGCCAUGCCGGCCAGGGUUGAUGGGAGUUGGAGUCCCAACAAAUUCUGGAGGGCAAAAGGAACUGACUGCUUGGUUUCUUUCUAGUUAUUUAUCCAUCCGUUUCAUCUUGUUUUUAUUGAUUUCAUAUUGUUGUUAUUUGGAGUGCUUCCCCUCUGUUGUUUCACACCAGGGUGGGGAACCUUUUAUGCCUGAGGGCCGCAUUUCCUUCUUGGUAAGCUCCCGAGGGCCACAUGGUAGUGGUGGGUGUGGCCAAAUGUGGUGGGAGGAGCAAUGAAUGUAAAUUUUACCUUUGUACAGUGGGCUGGGGUUGUGGGGUUUUUUUUUACACACACACCUCUCUUUCCUCCAUUGGGAAAACGAGGCCUUAUCAAAGUUCAAGGGCUCAUUCCAGCCAGGCAAAAACACAGGGCAAGGGGCGUGGCCUGGGGAAGGUUCCAAGGGCCAGACAGAGAGAACUGGAGGGCCGCAUCUGCCCCAUAGGCCAAAGGUUCCCCAGCCCUGUUGUAUGUAAGCUGUUUUGAAUACUUGCAAAAUAAAUAAAAAAGCAAGAUACAAAUAUUUCAAGUAAAUGUGGAAGGAGUCAUGGGUAAUUGUAGUUUUUGGGUACUUGUAACAGGGCUGCCUGCAAUUUUCUAAUGUGAUCUGAACAUGAGUUUUGUGUCAUUUUGUACAUGGAGGUGAAUUCCAUGAAACAAUUCAAGAAAGUUAAGAGUUGAUACCUAAGCUGCAGUCAAAAGGAAGCCACGAUGCUCAACUCUCCUAGGGACAAAGCUGAGGUCAGGAAAUUGCCACGCCAUCGCUCAAAGAUAUCCAGUGGUUCUUUGGGUCGAAAAUGCAGGCGCGAAACAUUGUCCUCGCAGCUCUUCUCAGUUCCACACCCAGUCAUGCGCUGCUGCCUUGCAAGACGCCUGUCUGGGCACGCUGCAGAUUUUAUUUUAUAUUGUAUUUAGAUACAUUUAUAAACCACUUAAUAAAUAAAAAAGCCUCCAAGCAAUGUACAUAAGAUGGUAUAAAACAAUUAUCAACGGCUCACAGAUGAAAUCAACAGAAAAUUAAAGAAUAAGAAGUAUAUGUAAUGAAAUCAUAUAUGCCUGGGAAGGCUUGCUGGAAUAAAGAAGUUUUUAACAGGGGUCUGAAACAGUAUAUCGUGAGGGUGCCUGCCGAAUGUCAAAUCAGCAGGGAAUUCCACUGAAAGAUCAACUCCUUGCAGACACGGAACGAACAUUAAUAAGUCACUUUAUAACUUUCAUUUGCGGCUCGAGGUGGCUUUUUCUUGCCCUUUUGUAAAAGGAAUUUCCUAUGCUGGAGACUUUGUACAUAUUUAUAUUGACUUUAUU